UUGGCGGAGAAUAUUACUGAUUGUGAAUUCUUCUUCUGGAUCCAUGCAAUCCUUCCUCUGAACCAUGACAUCUUUCACCUGAACUGCGCUAAAAUAAUUCUCUACUUUCGGUGGAAUAACAAUAAACCCUUAAAGGUCUACGAUGGGUUAAUCGAUAUAGAACGAAAUGAACUAGUAGCAAUCGGAAUGAGUGGUUCCGAAAUGAAUAUUUAGCUAUCGGAAUCAAUUUUUACCAUCUAUAUAUCGAUUUGUUGUGUUGGCGCGUAUUUUUGAAUCAAAAUUGGUUGCGUGUUUUAUUUAAAUUUUAAAUAUAUGCAAUUUCUAUUACAAUUGGAGGAAUUUUUCAUUCAAGCUAAUCAUUAAUUAGACGCACGCGAUUUUCAACAAAUUACAUCGGCCUUUGGCAGCCGUUGCAUAGAAAAAUGCAGGAACCAAACCGAUGCCAAAAUUGGGUUCUGUGAGCUAAUUUUGGAUCUUUAAAGAAGCCGCCAACAAAUCGCUUAACCUUCUGUCUGGGAAAACCGCAUCUAAAUCUAUUAAUCUAUUGAUGUUUGCACUUUUGAACCAAAGGUUAAUAAACUUGAACUUGAAUAUUGUUUAGAAAUUAAUUGAGUUCUGCUGUGCACCCAGACAACAUUUAAGCGAAUGAUCUAACAAAUGAUACAAAUUUGUUUUCCGAGUUUUUUUUUAUUCUUUAAAUUGUGUUUAUUGUUGUGCUGAGGUUUCUAAAGCGAAUCGAUAAUUAAUGUGGUGUGAAAGAGCUUAAAAGUGAUUCAAAUAUUGGCUAUUUCGGGGUCAAA